ACUCAGCUGGUAGAGUGCAAAGCUCUUAACCUUGUGGACGUGGGUUCAAGCCCCGU
rnacentral:tRNA from 1 species